CAAAUUAAAGUUUUAUUAUAAAAUAUUUCAUUUACAUUGAAAAGAAAUUGAAUAAGUUCAUUUAAUUUGA
rnacentral:tRNA from 4 species